rnacentral:rRNA from 1 species
GACGAACGCUGGCGGCGUGCCUAAUACAUGCAAGUCGAACGAAGCUUUCUUUCACCGAAUGCUUGCAUUCACCGAAAGAAGCUUAGUGGCGAACGGGUGAGUAACACGUAGGUAACCUGCCCAAAAGAGGGGGAUAACACUUGGAAACAGGUGCUAAUACCGUAUAACCAUGAACACCGCAUGAUGUUCAUGUAAAAGACGGCUUUUGCUGUCACUUUUGGAUGGGCCUGCGGCGUAUUAACUUGUUGGUGGGGUAACGGCCUACCAAGGUGAUGAUACGUAGCCGAACUGAGAGGUUGAUCGGCCACAUUGGGACUGAGACACGGCCCAAACUCCUACGGGAGGCAGCAGUAGGGAAUCUUCCACAAUGGACGAAAGUCUGAUGGAGCAACGCCGCGUGAAUGAAGAAGGCCUUCGGGUCGUAAAAUUCUGUUGUCAGAGAAGAACGUGCGUGAGAGUAACUGUUCACGUAUUGACGGUAUCUGACCAGAAAGCCACGGCUAACUACGUGCCAGCAGCCGCGGUAAUACGUAGGUGGCGAGCGUUGUCCGGAUUUAUUGGGCGUAAAGGGAACGCAGGCGGUCUUUUAAGUCUGAUGUGAAAGCCUUCGGCUUAACCGAAGUAGUGCAUUGGAAACUGGAAGACUUGAGUGCAGAAGAGGAGAGUGGAACUCCAUGUGUAGCGGUGAAAUGCGUAGAUAUAUGGAAGAACACCAGUGGCGAAAGCGGCUCUCUGGUCUGUAACUGACGCUGAGGUUCGAAAGCGUGGGUAGCAAACAGAAUUAGAUACCCUGGUAGUCCACGCCGUAAACGAUC